rnacentral:ncRNA from 1 species
CCUAUGGAGAGUACAAGAACUUGUGAGUAGUAUCUGCUUCGGCAGUGCGAAAGCAUACUCGAUGAAGUAGGAA